UACGAAGGGGGCUAGCGUUGCUCGGAUUGACUGGGCGUAAAGGGCGCGUAGGCGGAAUGCUUUGUCGGGCGUGAAAUUCCAGGGCUCAACCUUGGGGGCUGCGUUCGAGACGGGUAUUCUUGAGUUCGGAAGAGGGUCGUGGAAUUCCCAGUGUAGAGGUGAAAUUCGUAGAUAUUGGGAAGAACACCGGUGGCGAAGGCGGCGACCUGGUCCGAGACUGACGCUGAGGCGCGAAAAGCGUGGGGGAGCAAACAGG
rnacentral:rRNA from 1 species